UACGGAGGGUGCGAGCGUUGUCCGGAAUCACUGGGCGUAAAGGGCGCGUAGGCGGCCUGAUCAGUCGGGGGUGAAAGCCUGUGGCUCAACCACAGAAUGGCCUUCGAUACUGUCGGGCUUGAGACCGGAAGAGGUAAGUGGAACUGCGAGUGUAGAGGUGAAAUUCGUAGAUAUUCGCAAGAACACCAGUGGCGAAGGCGGCUUACUGGUCCGGAUCUGACGCUGAGGCGCGAAAGCGUGGGGAGCAAACAGG
rnacentral:rRNA from 1 species